GACGAACGCUGGCGGCGUGCUUAACACAUGCAAGUCGAACGGAAAGGCCCUGCUUGCAGGGUACUCGAGUGGCGAACGGGUGAGUAACACGUGGGUGAUCUGCCCUGCACUUCGGGAUAAGCUUGGGAAACUGGGUCUAAUACCGGAUAGGACCGCACUUUAGUGUGUGUGGUGGAAAGUUUUUUCGGUGUAGGAUGAGCUCGCGGCCUAUCAGCUUGUUGGUGGGGUAAUGGCCUACCAAGGCGGCGACGGGUAGCCGGCCUGAGAGGGUGUACGGCCACAUUGGGACUGAGAUACGGCCCAGACUCCUACGGGAGGCAGCAGUGGGGAAUAUUGCACAAUGGGCGCAAGCCUGAUGCAGCGACGCCGCGUGGGGGAUGAAGGCCUUCGGGGUGUAAACUCCUUUCGCUAGGGACGAAGCUUUGUUGUGACGGUACCUAGAUAAGAAGCACCGGCUAACUACGUG
rnacentral:rRNA from 1 species